GCAAGUAGACAAUCGAGAGCCACUUGUUGAGAAUGAUGAUGUAGAUUCAUUGGAGACAGUUCAGAUGAACGUAUCAGAGGUACAGAAUGAUGGUUGGACAUCGGAAGAUGGGACUGAGGCUUUGCGUACAUUACGGAAGAGAGACACUAACUGGAAGGCGUAUGGUUUUGACUCCUCAGUGAUGAAAAUUGCAGACCCAUGGGCAAGUAGGAAUUUGUGGUUUCAGCAGGUGACCCAUUCUGUGAGAUCUAUUAGUAGGCUAAAUUGUCCAUGUCUGGUGAAAAUUCCAUCUCCAGGCACAUGGCCUUCGAUUUUGGAGACGGUGCCGCAUCCGUUGGCGGCUCCAUGUCAAUCGAAUGCAUUAACAUGGUUGUCUUAUCAACAGGGGUCACCGGCAGCUGCCUUGAAGGCUUUGUGGGGAACUUUAUUUCAGCCAGGUUCUAUUUGUUCUUGGCUGAGGACAUUGCCAUAUGUGAAUUUGAUGGACCAACAUGAGAAUGUACUGACAGCACUCCCUGAUGCAUUAGAUGUGAAACCUGUGAGAGCUUUUGGUUGUUUCUGUUCCAAUAAGACAUAUAUGGGAUCUGGAAUGUUUAUGGGAAUAUCUCGUUGUAAUGAAUAUAGGAUGCAUUUGGGUAAGGGUAAACUUAUAAAUCCUCAUGAAUUGUUUCCUGUAACUUUCCGUUUGCCCCAUAACCAGAAUAAGACUGUGUGGGUGCUUGAUCGUCUUUUGCCUGCGAACGUUACUGUAGGAAAUUUUAAGGAUAUUUGGUGGGUUUGUGGUGACAAGGCGUAUUUGUUUUUGCCAAAUGGAUGGACAGGGUGUUGUUAUAUGGCAACAUUGAAACUCCCGUAUGAGGUUUUGGCUGUCAAGGACACUAAUGCAACUAACAAAGUUCAGUCUAAUGUUGCUCCUGCAAAUAGGAAGAGAAGAGAGUUGGCGCAGUUUCAUAAUUUGGAAUCCUACCAUUGGAGGAUAAGUUUGGGUGAAAAAUGGGGUAUAGGACUCCUUCCGUGGUAUGGCGUUACGUUUUUGGCUGAUCAUAUUGACAAUAUCACUUAUACCCUGCAGGGUUUUGCGAAUGAGACUAUAAGAGGGUUUGGUUAUUUGUCGAAUACUCAGAGGAGUCAUAGACUGACAUUGUUGAAACAUGAUAUGGCUCUGGACUAUAUUUUGGCCAGACAGGGUGGUUUAUGUGUGGCUUUGAAUUUAACUGGGGAUGCUUGUUACACGUUGGUUCCAGAUACUUCUGAUAAUAUCACUAGUGUGAUAGAUGCGUUGCAAGCCAUUAGGGAUGCGUUUGGUCCAUCGGAAGGUGCUGGAUGGUCUGCUAAUGUUUGGCUGGAGGACCAAUUGGGUCCAAUGGGAGCUGUUGUACUCCAAAUUUUGAUAGCGGUUCUUUUGUCACUGUGUGUGAUGUUCUGUUUCUGUACGUUGUUGUUGACCUUUGCGAAGGCUAUGAUAUUGAGAUGGGUUGGUGUUGUGCUGCCAGGUGACAACGUUCAGAUGCCGUUAUUGAGUGGAGCUUCCUUGAGUGAAGAUGAGGCAGAUGUCAUGGGGAGUCAGAUGGUGGAUAAAUAUCCCUUUUGACUGUCUCUUUUGGUGUGGUCCUACUUUUUCUUUUUGUAGUUCUUUAAAGGGGGAAAUGGGAACUUAUGGUUUUUGAUUUGAUUUUUUGAAUUUUUUACUUUUACCUUUUAGUAUAUUGCAAUAUAUUAUACUGUGUUUGAUGUGUUUGUUGUUGCAAGAUACUGGUUGGUGUGUUUUGUCUUCCCAGGAGACUAUCUGGGAAAUCGAGUAAAGAGCGGCUGUCGUUCAGAGAUCUCUACAGCCAAAUGGACUCAUAUGCUUGAAUAUGGACAAUGCAAUGGGGGAAGAAUCCGAAGUGAGGACAUUACAGUGAUGGCAUACUACGACUGGAACUGUUGAUGGACGACAGUUUGAUAUAUUCAUGUUUUCAUGUAUGCCUAUUGUAUGGAUUCUGUUUCCAUAUGUACUCUGUUUUUAAUAUUGGAUGCUUAUUCUUGUUUACAUUUUUAUAUUAUGAGUUAGUGAUACUAUUAAUAUGUUAGUUUUUGAGUUUUAUGCCUAUAUGACUGAUAUGAGGUGUUUAUGACAGGGGGUUCAUUACUUGGAUGUUUUCUCUUAGGAGGUGAGUACGUUGGGAUCUCAGGUGUUUUCUUUUUUUCGACUGUUUAGGGGCAGUAAUGCUAGGCAGGGUCAGGUCCAUUGAAGGGUUCGAUGGGUCGACCAGCCUGACAUUGGAUGUUUUUGAUUUUAUUUCUGGGAUUCCCAUGUGUAUUCGCUUCUACUUGUUUACAUACUUGUUUGAACCUUUUGUCUAAUU
ensembl:lncRNA